AAUAGAAUAGAAUGAGAUGCAGGGAUGUAUUAGGAUAAGGUGGUAACAAAUAAAUGUAAGAUGAUUGCACAUUGUAAUUGCGUAAUGGGAAAACAUUUAACUGUUCAUGCGGUAGAUUGCCUGGAGAAGAAACUGUUCCUGUGCCAGUCAAAGGCCAAUACUUUUAGAGAGGUUUAUUGGGUAGCUACGAUGGAAGCAAGACUUCUUCAGGGCACAAAUACUAAUGCUUAAAGAGAAUAAAGAAGACAUAGAGCAGGAGUUGUAAAGGCAAACGACUCAAGGUAGCACCUCUUAAAAAAACAUGGUCAUCGCCACCAUAUAUAACUUGUUACUCGCUAAGAGAGAGCGGAAGCUAAGACUCAAAAAUGUGUGUUGUAAAGGUUAUAUUGUGUAACGUUAUAUGUGCACGUGUGUACAUUACAGUGUAAUUAUAUAUAUAUAAUUACACACACAGUAUAUAUAAAG